rnacentral:rRNA from 1 species
GAGACAGCAGCCGCCGCGGUAAUACGGAGGGGGCUAGCGUUGUUCGGAAUUACUGGGCGUAAAGCGCACGUAGGCGGCUUGGUAAGUUAGAGGUGAAAGCCCGGAGCUCAACUCCGGAAUUGCCUUUAAGACUGCCGAGCUAGUAGGUGAGAGAGGUAAGUGGAAUUCCGAGUGUAGAGGUGAAAUUCGUAGAUAUUCGGAAGAACACCAGUGGCGAAGGCGGCUUACUGGCUCAUUCUAGACGCUGAGGUGCGAAAGCGUGGGGAGCAAACAGGAUUAGAUACCCGUGUAGGUCCCUGUCUCUUAUA